UGUACCAGUACAACACGAUGUCUCUUAGCAUUGCUUGUGUCUUAUUCUUGGUACACUCGACAGUGGCCGUGCUGCAGAAAGACGCCUAUGUACCUGACGAUUGGUCUGAAAAUUUCAGAUCCAGGCAGGUGCUUUCCAGUACGUCAAAGACCCUCAAGACUGCGGUUUCGGCUACAUCUGUGAUAGCAGCGGAAGGUCCUCGACGUGUAUGACUGCACCAAAUUCGAAGCCUUUUUCUCGAUAACGUUUAAGAUCUGCGCAGUAGAAGCCGUAUUGAAGGCACACGGCGAGGAAACAUGUGAUUAUGUGCCUCCGCCCAACAGUUUCCAUGCCAAAAAAGACGACCCUCUGUGUAACGCCUACCCAAACAGCGCCCGUCCGUUCCCUGAUAACUGUGCCCAGUUCGUGCUGUUGCUGGGAUAACGAAUCCCUGGAUUUGGUGGACUGUCAGCAAGGCACGGGGUUCGACCCGGAGAAACAGCGUUGUGAAAACCUCACUCCGUCCACUGUAAACAGCCUGUGCGGUAACAGACCCGUCCCAGAUGGCUGGGUGGGACCCGAACCUUGAACAC